rnacentral:tRNA from 1 species
UGCCGGGUGGUCUAGUGGUAAGACGGCUGACUCUGGAUCAGUAAAUCGUAGGUUCGAAUCCUACCCCGGCAACCA